UAUCUCUCCGUACGGGGAAGGAUGAGAAGCUUCGACUAAGGUUCGAUUCGAGCGCAGCGAGAAAGCGUUGCCGUAGGCAACGACCCGAAGGGCGA
rnacentral:sRNA from 2 species